rnacentral:rRNA from 1 species
UACGUAGGGCGCGAGCGUUGUCCGGAAUUAUUGGGCGUAAAGAGCUCGUAGGCGGCCUGUUGCGUCCGCUGUGAAAGCCCGGGGCUUAACCCCGGGUCGGCAGUGGAUACUGGCAGGCUAGAGGUAGGUAGGGGAGAAUGGAAUUCCCGGUGUAGCGGUGAAAUGCGCAGAUAUCGGGAGGAACACCGGUGGCGAAGGCGGUUCUCUGGGCCGUGACUGACGCUGAGGAGCGAAAGCGUGGGGAGCGAACAGG